rnacentral:lncRNA from 14 species
GGGCUCUCCGUUUCUGUGUCUCCUCAGCUCUGUUUUCUUCCCCUAUCUCAGGAGAUGAAGUUGCCUCAGUCGUAAGUGUUGCUAUGGUUCAGAAGGAAUUGAGAGAAGACGAGGCCAGUGUUCGAGGGAGAAAGAUCCAGCUAAUCCACCAGCUAGAUCAGCAAUGAGCUUGCUGAUGAAAGAUCAACUCCCUUGUUUGUAUUCAACAACUACAUUGUAGCAGAUCAUUAUGAGGUACACUAUGGCCGAAUAUUGUGGAAUUAUGAGAGCAAGCCGUGAGCAGGAUGCUCUGUCCUUGGAGCAGGGACGAUUCUACACUGCAGUUCCUGACCAAGUACACUCCCUGCAGGAUAAGGCUGGACCCUGAUUGAGAUUCCUGCUCAGUUGUUUCUUCUGGC